rnacentral:tRNA from 1 species
GGGUGGGUAGUCUAGGGGUUAUGACGCCGCCCUCACACGGCGGAGGUCCCAGGUUCGAAUCCUGGCCCACCCA